rnacentral:rRNA from 1 species
AUUGAACGCUGGCGGCAGGCUUAGCACAUGCAAGUCGAGCGGGGGAAGGUAGCUUGCUACCGGACCUAGCGGCGGACGGGUGAGUAAUGCUUAGGAAUCUGCCUAUUAGUGGGGGACAACAUCUCGAAAGGGAUGCUAAUACCGCAUACGUCCUACGAGAGAAAGCAGGGGAUCUUCGGACCUUGCGCUAAUAGAUGAGCCUAAGUCGGAUUAGCUAGUUGGUGGGGUAAAGGCCUACCAAGGCGACGAUCUGUAGCGGGUCUGAGAGGAUGAUCCGCCACACUGGGACUGAGACACGGCCCAGACUCCUACGGGAGGCAGCAGUGGGGAAUAUUGGACAAUGGGGGGAACCCUGAUCCAGCCAUGCCGCGUGUGUGAAGAAGGCCUUAUGGUUGUAAAGCACUUUAAGCGAGGAGGAGGCUACUCUAGUUAAUACCUAGGGAUAGUGGACGUUACUCGCAGAAUAAGCACCGGCUAACUCUGUGCCAGCCGCCGCAGUAA